AUUUUGAAUUUCAGAUAAACAAUGAUUUUUGUUUUAGUGUAAGUACAUCCUGUGCAAUAUUUGGGAUAUACUUAUACUAAAAACUGAUUCAUUAAACAAUUGAAA
rnacentral:miRNA from 1 species